rnacentral:rRNA from 1 species
AUGAACGCUAGCAACAGGCUUAACACAUGCAAGUCGAGGGGCAGCAUGGUCUUAGCUUGCUAAGGCCGAUGGCGACCGGCGCACGGGUGAGUAACGCGUAUCCAACCUGCCUUACACUCUUGGACAGCCUUCUGAAAGGGAGAUUAAUACAAGAUGUUAUCAUGAGUAAGCAUUUUCGCAUGAUUAAAGGUUUACCGGUGUAAGAUGGGGAUGCGUUCCAUUAGAUAGUAGGCGGGGUAACGGCCCACCUAGUCUUCGAUGGAUAGGGGUUCUGAGAGGAAGGUCCCCCACAUUGGAACUGAGACACGGUCCAAACUCCUACGGGAGGCAGCAGUGAGGAAUAUUGGUCAAUGGACGAGAGUCUGAACCAGCCAAGUAGCGUGAAGGAUGAAGGUUCUAUGGAUUGUAAACUUCUUUUAUACGGGAAUAAACGAAUCCACGUGUGGAUUUUUGCAUGUACCGUAUGAAUAAGGAUCGGCUAACUCCGUGCCAGCAGCCGCGGUAAUACGGAGGAUCCGAGCGUUAUCCGGAUUUAUUGGGUUUAAAGGGAGCGUAGAUGGGUUGUUAAGUCAGUUGUGAAAGUUUGCGGCUCAACCGUAAAAUUGCAAUUGAUACUGGCAGUCUUGAGUACAGUUGAGGUAGGCGGAAUUCGUGGUGUAGCGGUGAAAUGCUUAGAUAUCACGAAGAACUCCGAUUGCGAAGGCAGCUUACUAACCUGUAACUGACAUUGAUGCUCAAAAGUGUGGGUAUCAAACAGGAUUAGAUACCCUGGUAGUCCACACGGUAAACGAUGAAUACUCGCUGUAGGCGAUAUACAGUCUGCGGCCAAGCGAAAGCAUUAAGUAUUCCACCUGGGGAGUACGCCGGCAACGGUGAAACUCAAAGGAAUUGACGGGGGCCCGCACAAGCGGAGGAACAUGUGGUUUAAUUCGAUGAUACGCGAGGAACCUUACCCGGGCUUAAAUUGCAACCGAAUAUGGCGGAAACGCUAUAGCUAGCAAUAGCGGUUGUGAAGGUGCUGCAUGGUUGUCGUCAGCUCGUGCCGUGAGGUGUCGGCUUAAGUGCCAUAACGAGCGCAACCCUUGCCGAUAGUUACUAACAGGUUAUGCUGAGGACUCUGUCGGGACUGCCAUCGUAAGAUGUGAGGAAGGUGGGGAUGACGUCAAAUCAGCACGGCCCUUACGUCCGGGGCUACACACGUGUUACAAUGGGGGGUACAGAGGGCUGCUACCACGCAAGUGGAUGCCAAUCCCAAAAACCUCUCUCAGUUCGGAUUGAAGUCUGCAACCCGACUUCAUGAAGCUGGAUUCGCUAGUAAUCGCGCAUCAGCCACGGCGCGGUGAAUACGUUCCCGGGCCUUGUACACACCGCCCGUCAAGCCAUGGGAGCCGGGGGUACCUGAAGUGCGUAACCGCAAGGAGCGCCCUAGGGUAAAACUGGUGACUGGGGCU